GGGCGGGUACCGAAGCGGUCAAACGGGACAGACUGUAAAUCUGUUGCCUCACGGCUUCGUAGGUUCGAAUCCUACCCCGCCCA
rnacentral:tRNA from 1 species